ensembl:lncRNA
UUGUUGCAAAUGAACAUUUAUUUCAGCAGUCAGUGAGCACUGCUGGACAAAGAAUGUGGCUUACAAUGGGACUUUAGUCACAAAAGUCACCCAGAAUUUUCAUGAUGGCAAUUAUUGAGUUAGACCAGGGAAGAAAAUGAACAGAGCUGGCAAUGACUUGUGAUCAACACUGUCACACAUGUGCUGAUCAGAUAAUCCACUAAACACACACCAGUCUCAACUCCCGGCCUACACUGAAUUCUGUACACUAGACAUUUGCCAUAAUCCUAAUGGCUCACUACAAACCCAGCUUUAAUUCCAUCCACAUUCAAACACUAGAAGACUAAGUGCCUCCAAACAUUAAUUGCAUUCAAUUCAACCAACUUUCUGUAAGCACAUUAUCUCGUGCUCUAUUCAUAUCUAUCAUAGCCGUUGGCACACAAUCCCAGCACUUGAGCAAGGACAGGUGCGUUUGAAGACAGUCAAUACUGCACUUUCUCAUCUUGUCUUUUCUGGACGGUCAUAACAUCCAAUUCUCACUUGUGUCACUGGCCCUAGAAAACAAACACAGGGAUUACAAAACUACCAACACAAAAAUGAAAACAAAAAACCCCACAACAAUGCCUUUUUAAUGGUCCGUCUCAGAAGCCAGAUCCGUAAUUUUGUAUUUCAACAGGAAUUCAGGUUCGGGAUAGGGUCAUCAUAGAUCAGACCAAAGACAGUAUGUUCAUGUUCAACAACAACAAAAAACUGCACUCACAUGCAUUCCCAGGAGCUCUAGUAACUGUACAGGGAGCUGGCAUUUCACUCACUGGCAUUCGCUGCUAACAGAAAAAAAAAGCACUAUGAAGUAUUUUGUAGUUAUCUACUUAAAGCACACUAUACAACUGAGAAUACUUCCAUUUACUUCUCCAUACUUGAAAGUAAUCUGAUUGUUUAGAUCAAUUAUGCCUUACAAUGGUUCAAUCAACUCUAUAGCCAUUCCAAAUUAAAAGGCAAGCUUACAACAAAUCGUAUAUUAAUGUUAAGUUUAUAAAUGAAACGGUUGGCCAAUAUCAGUUUCUACACUUUAUAUUUUACCAUGUAGACGUAACGCUUUGUAUGCUCACAAAUUAAAACCUACCCUUGAUACACACCUUUUAAAAACAGUCAGGUCUUAAGCAAGUUAUCUCCUGUUAUGAAUUCACUGGGGUGGUUUGGCCCUCUGUCCUCCAUCUAAUUAAAGAAACAAAACUUUAAGCACCACAGCAGCCUCUACUCGUUCAAUUAGAAAACGAAGUUGCAUCACCCUCACCUGGGCAUUUCUUUGCAACUGCUUCGAAGACCCAGAAAACGAUGGCGUCAUUGUUCCUGUGAAAGGAGUAAUGCGUUAUCAGUCGUCUCUUGGGCGACACUAGCACCUUCUGAACAGCACGAAACUAAAAAAAAAAAAAAAAACCUUCCUCUGCCCAAGUCUUUUUGGAACAGAACUCACCCACGCCGGGAAAUAGGAACUAGACCCCUUAGGCCAUCAGCCAGGCCACCAAGCUCCAAUCUCCUUGGGCCUACGCGCCAAUCCUGCAAUCCCAUAGCAGAUGCGCAUUUCCCCAAGUAAAUUUUCAACCGCACUCUAACCUCAAACCUCCGAGGCUGUCCCACAAAACAGAAGCGUCCCAUUUUACUUUGCUCCACCGUAUUUCGCUUGGUCAUAACCCCCUCCCCCACAAUCCGCCCUCUCACUUACAGACAUAGGAAAAACCUCAGCUUCCCGACGUAAAAGAACGAGCCACGCAGCCUGCAGCUCCCUUUAUAGCCUGCGUGGAGCGAGACCGAGGCUGCCCCUCCCUCUCGCCCCUAUUGGAUGUGAAGCCAUGUGGGGGCGUGGCCUUUCCCUGGGGAACGCGUGGGAGCGCGCCUCUUUUCUUCCGGGCCAUCAUGGGGUGUGGUGCGCGCCCCCCCAGCUCGCCGCGUGCUCGUCCUUUGCGCGCGUCGCCGUCGGCACGUUGCCACCCGUCUCUUCCGAGUAUGUCCGGCCGCUCGGCUCUACGUGGCGUGGGAGUGGCGCCAGAAUUCAAACGAACAGCCGCAGUUGUAGGCGAGGUCACCGCCUGCUUUGAGCCAAGUCGGCUAGGACUCUCCGUGGCUGGGAGCGGCCUUUACGCGCGGCCCGUGGAGGAGCCUGGCUGGCCCGGUGGCCGGUGCUGCGCUUGGUCCGCGGCGGCGCAGCUGAAUGGACGUCGGCGGACAGUACUAAGACGGUGAAAACCGGAAAGCCCUACGUUUAUCCUUCGUGCACCCUGCGGGUACCGUAUGUCAGCAGAAGGCCACGCUGUCGCGUUCACGCCACCCAACUCCUGUUCAGGCACCCAGCCAGGUCCAGUCCCCCUCACCCCCCCAUUACAGUGUCACUAGUGACAGUUAUUCGCUGACAAUCUUGGGAAGAUACACACUCCAUUUCACAGAAAGGAGGAAGCAGGUCAAAAGCCUCCAGUUGGCCUAAGGACUGAGAAUGGCCCAAGAGCCAUGCCUUUGGGUGUAUUUGUGAGGAUGUUUUCAGAGAAGUUGAACUGAAGAAAGAAGAGUACCCGGAAUAUGGAUGGCAUCAUCCCAUGGAGGAGGAGACAACUCUUCAAAACAACUCCUUCCCAGAAUAGAAAUGAAGCCUUUGAUUGGAACAAGAACACUUCAUCUGUUAAGACAGAAGAGAAGGCAGGUAUUGACAGAGGAAGUCACGUGCAGCCUGUCCACCAUCCCAUGGCUAUGCAAGAGUGUGCUUUGGCUGAGCAUAGAACAUUUUAUUUUACACAGAUUCACAAAGUCCCCACAGCCUGUGCUGGGAAUAUCACUGUGUUUGGCAAUAACUUUCCCUGUUCUAGGGUUUAUGUGCACUUCUCUAUUCUGCAUUAAGAAUGUGCAUCCUCCAGAGACCCACAGCCAAACAUCAGGCAGAGCUCCAGGAACCUCAAGGAAGAGGGGAAGGAAGGAUUGUAACAGCCAGGGGGGUUGGGUCAAGGACACCAGGAGAACACAGUCCACAGAAUAAACUAAGCAGGGCUGCAAGGGGCUCAGAGAGACUGAUGUGGCAGUCACUGAGCCUGUAUGGGUCUGUACUAGGUCCUCUGCAUAUAUGCUAUGGUUGUGUAGCUUGGUCUUCUGGUGGAACUCCUAACAGUGGGAAUGGGGGCGGGUAUCUCUGAUUCUUUUGCUUUCUCUUGGAACCUUUAACCUCCUAUUGGAUUGCUUCAUUCAGCCUUGAAGUGAGGAUUUGUGCUUAGUCUUACAGUAACUUACGCUGUGUUUGGUUGAUAUCCCUGGGAGACUUGCUCUUUUAAUGAAGGGAAACAGAAGAAGAAUGGAUCUGGGGCAAAGGGGAGUUGUGUGUUUGGGGACAGGGGCGAGAGUGCAGGGAGGGGCAACUCUGGUUGGGAUGCAAUGUAUGAGAGAAUAAUAAUAAUAAAAAGAAUGAGCAUUCU